rnacentral:rRNA from 1 species
GAGUUUGAUCCUGGCUCAGGAUGAACGCUGGCGGCGUGCCUAACACAUGCAAGUCGAGCGAUUCUCUUCGGAGAAGAGCGGCGGACGGGUGAGUAACGCGUGGGUAACCUGCCUCAUACACAUGGAUAACAUACCGAAAGGUAUGCUAAUACAGGAUAACAUAAGAGAUUCGCAUGUUUAUCUUAUCAAAGCUCCGGCGGUAUGAGAUGGACCCGCGUCUGAUUAGCUAGUUGGUAAGGUAAUGGCUUACCAAAGCAACGAUCAGUAGCCGACCUGAGAGGGUGAUCGGCCACAUUGGAACUGAGACACGGUCCAAACUCCUACGGGAGGCAGCAGUGGGGAAUAUUGCACAAUGGGCGAAAGCCUGAUGCAGCAACGCCGCGUGAGUGAUGAAGGCCUUCGGGUCGUAAAACUCUGUCCUCAAGGAAGAUAAUGACGGUACUUGAGGAGGAAGCCCCGGCUAACUACGUGCCAGCAGCCGCGGUAAUACGUAGGGGGCUAGCGUUAUCCGGAUUUACUGGGCGUAAAGGGUGCGUAGGUGGUUUCUUAAGUCAGGAGUGAAAGGCUACGGCUUAACCGUAGUAAGCUCUUGAAACUGGGAAACUUGAGUGCAGGAGAGGAAAGUGGAAUUCCUAGUGUAGCGGUGAAAUGCGUAGA